rnacentral:lncRNA from 1 species
GGAAAAGCAACUUAAGGAAGCAUUUAUUUUGGCUCCUGUUUUGAGGGUACAAUCUACCAAUUAGGAGAAAGGGUGAUGGCAAAACAUAGCUCACUUUGUGGCAGCAGAAGUAAGAAGCAAUUGGUCACAUCGCCUCCACAGUCAGGAGUGAACACUGAUGCCCAGCUAGCUUUCCCUUGUUUUCAGGGUUAUUCUGUCUGGGACUCCCACGCCCCAGGAGAUGAUGCCAUCCAUUUUUGGGGUGAUCUCUCCCUGUUCAACUUCUCUGGAAACACCCUCCCUGUAUCUCACACAUACACCUGUAUCUAUAUCCUCUAUCUAUGUCAUUCCAUAUCCUACCAAGUUGACAGUGAACAUUCGCCAGCCCUGUGGUAGAAACUUUAAGAAGCAGCUGACAAGGCGGUCAGGUCAGUGGAGGCGCACUCUUGAAGGAGACUCUGGAGCUCUGGUUUCUUUCUCUUUGUUUUCAUUUCCUGGCCAUGAGGUGAGUGCUUUUGCUCUGCUAGGCACUUCCAAAAUAGCCUCCAGCCUUACCAUGGGCCCAAAGCAAUGGAGAGUCCAGUUAUGGGCUAGAACCUUCAAACCAUCAACCAAAAUUUUUCUCUGACAAAAGUUGAUUAUCUAAAUCAGAGGUUCUCACCCUUCCCCGUUCUGCAGCCUUUUGAUACAGUUCCUCAGGUUGUAGGGCUCCUCCAACCAUAAAAUUAUCUUCACUGCUAAUUCAUAAUUUCCUAGUUAUACGUCAUAAUGUAAAUAUUUUUGUAGCUAUAGGUUUGUCAAUGGCGUCUCCACUCACAGGUUGAGAACCACUGAUCUGAAUUCUCUUGUUAUUGUGAUGAAAGCUAACACGUAAGAUCAAAAAUACAUACUAGAAAUCAUUUUGAAGAAAGCAUUCAUCUAAUGACCUUAAAAAGCUAAUACUGUGGCUAUGGAGAUGGCUCAACAAAGCGUUGGCUUUGCAAGCCCAGGGACUCCAGAUUGAUUCCCAUAGCCACAUAAAGAUGAUGUUAAAUGUGGCUGGCCCAUGCUUAUAAUUUCUGAGCUGGAAGGCAGAAACAGAAAGAUCUCCUAGACUUGUGCUCAGCCAGUCUAGCCUGAUUCCUGAGCUCCAGAUCAGUAAGAGGCCCUAUCUCAAAGGGAAUAAAUGGUGCUCCUGAGGAUAACACCUAAGGCCUUCAGCCUCUGCAUGCACGUGUGUACCUGAGCACAUAGAUGUAAAGAGAACCAAAUUAAGACCACAGGCUUGAAAUGUAGCCCAGAGGCACAGUCCUUAACCAGAUUCUGUGACAAGCUUUUACCAUAUGUCAUUCUAUUCCCUACCUUCUAUCUAUGGCAAACCUUAUGUGAUGUUCUUACCCAAACGGCUUUUAUUCACUUACUAUCAUUACUACUGCAUGUGUGCAUGAUGUGUGUGUUGACCUGCAUGCCACGGUGCACAUAUGGUGAUCAGAGGACAGCUCUGUGGAGUGUAUUCUCCCUUCCAUCUCUACAUGCGUUUCAGGGAUUGAACUGAGUUCGCCUCAUUUUCAUGGCAAGCACCCUUAUCCAGUGAGUCAUCUCACUAGCCCUGUUUGCAGUAAUUCUGAAAUUCUGUCUGGUCAGAGUUGAUGGAAGUUUCUUACUGAUUGCUUCGGGAAGGUCAAAGACUUUGGUGUGGGGCUGGUAAGAUGGCUCAGCGGGUAAGAGCACUGACUGCUCUCCCAAAGGUCCUGAAUUCAAAUCCCAGCACAAAAUAAAUCAAUCUUGCCGUAAAAUAAAUAAAGGCCAAUUGGUGGCUUUUGACCUGCUGCCUCCUCUGUGAAGCAGAAUGACUUCUGAGGAUACUGACAGUAUAAUUGUCCCCAAAGUCUGGUAGUGGGAUGGGUGGGGCUGGGUUGGAGGUUGGACCUGGCUGGGCGCCCAAGCAGGCAUUGGAUAGGGAGCACCGGACAGCGUGGCUCUCUGCAGACCAGCGGCGUCCCCAGAGUGCACGAAGGAUAAACGCGUGGCUUUUCCGUUUCACCGGUGUAGUUCUGUCCUCCAAGGUCCCUUCGGCAGAGCGGCUGCCACCCGGGUUAGACUUGGGGUGAGGUCAAGGCCACUCCAGGCCGCCAACCGUCUCGAAGCAGGUGGUACAACGCCUCCAACUGCGGCAGUUCCUUUGAAUUUUGACGCCACUCCCACUCCACGUAGGGCUAAGCUGCCUGCCAGACUCGGAAGAAACCGGUGGCGGCGAGCCAGCGGGAGCGCGCGCAGCAACGGACAGGAACGCGGCAGGCGGGCGGCGCGCACCUCCCCCGGAAAGGCCGGGAAGAAAAGACCCACAGCUUUUCCACGCGGUGCUUCAGGAACGGCCGCGCCCCCACGUGCUCUCGGGUGCAAUCCGUAACAGAAGGAAGGAAGGACAGCCUCGCUCUGACUGCACCCUAAACUAUAAAGGGACCUGCGCGGAAAGCUGAGGGUUCUCUUUGCGCUGUACUGGUGACACCUAAGUGACAUCGGAUUAUAUGCACAUGAACCCUUUCACAGGGACCAUGGCGUCAUCAUUCUUAACAUCAUCAAAGCAGUUGCAAAAAGAUACCAAGAUGAAGGGGUGCCCAAAGCAUCCGAGAGAACUCGUCACAGAAAAUAACUUGAUUAAAACCUGACUCUUUUAAAAGUGGCCAUGCGGACCAGGACGGUGAACACUUCCCUGACCAUGUCUUACUCAGAGCCUUAAGAAGAGUUGGAGGUGGAGCGGAGCUGUGGGGAGGGGCCCAGUGUCUCUCAGAACUUCUCAUCCUCCGGGCUUCCCUAGGAUGCAAUGGGUCAGAGCUCCCAGAUCUCUUAUGCCUCCAAACACAUUGAUUCCCCCCAACUUUUUUACAACGGAUUUCCCAGUUCCUACCAAUCUCAUCUCUCUAAGUAAAUAAGAAGGGGUUUCUACUGAUGGCUUUCCCAUGGCCCGGCUUCAUGCUGCUCCUGUCAGGAUGGAUCAGGAAAGGAGCUGGACCUGAAGAUGAAUCUACCAUACAGUAGGUAGAGGCACGUGACAAGCACGCGCCAAGUCCUAAGCUGAUGCCCGCUAUCAGAAUUAACUGGGUGUGGUGGUGCGUGUUUGUAAUGCCACACUUGAGAGGUCCCAGCAGGAUGGCCAGAACUUCAGCUCAGCUACAGUGCAAGCUGGAGGCCAACCUGUGCUACAUGAGACGCUGUCUAAAUGACAAAACACAUCAAACAGACAAACAAAAGGGCUAAGGUUGGCUAAGGGAGAUCGAGUCAGAAAACCAGCUUGCAUGGAGAAUGCGCUCCUGGAAGCAAGGAUAUCGUUUACAGCCAUAAAAUGAUAAUAACCUGGUAGGAAAACGGGGUGGGAUUUAUAAGUGUCUUCAACAUGCAGAACGAGUAAAACUCACUACACUUCUCAAAAAUGGCAGUGUGGGGACCUUUGAGAGGGGCUCAGUGGGUGAAGGAGUUUGCUAUGGAGCCAAAUGACCUGAGUUCAAGCCCCACCACCCACAAGGUAGAAGGAAAGGAACAACUCCCGCAAGCUGUCUUCUGACCUCCGUGGUGGUACUAUAGCACGCCUUUGC